UUCCGACCGUUUCACGAAGUAGGUCGCAUUGCAUGCGAUUUCCUGUAGUUGCGUUUCGUGUGUUCUCGCCUUUUCUAUUUUCUAAACUCUCUCCCUUCGCUCCUUUCCCUAUACACACUUGCCGCUGCUCUAAGUAGCCUCUGCAACGUAGUAAGGUAAACCGCGCGCCGUCUUACGAUACAACUUGUUCCCAUAUGCAAACUACGUACAUGUGCAAAAACACGGCGGAAAGUUACCCUAUGGCGAGGCGACGAGAGAAAAAAUGCAUACCGCGUGCAUGUGGACAGAACUGUGCGAAAGGUGAAUGAAAAGGGGCUUGUCUGUGUGUGCAACGACUGUAUCAGCUGCUUGGUCGACCGGUUCGUCGCAUCCCUCUUACCUGAAUCUGGAUGACGCCGGUAUCAGGUAUAACGAGUUUCGCCGGAGCAACUUCCAGGGGACCGUAAUCGGUGACGUCGCGAGCCUAUAAUGCUGUUUAAUUCCGACAGAGGGUUGGAAUUUUAGGUCUAACCAGGAACAUGACGAAUAAUAAUUGAACUACUUAGCGGUUCCCGAUAUCAAACGGUCGACGAGGAUAUUGUUCCGUUACCAAUUUGAAAAUCAAAUUACUACGAGACACGAGAUAACGAGUUUCGUUGCGACAAUUCCACGCAUCUAAGAAGAUCACGACCUACUACCGAGGAACUACGCGAAGAAGGCGAUGUAGAAGGUAGGUCGAAGCAGUCUGAGCUGACGUUAUGAGAAUACGAGAGACGGAAUUUAGAAUCACGGAAGUGAUUGCUCCAAAAUUACGACGUGCGAUCUGUACUAUUGUUAGUCGAGUCAAGAAGUCAAAUAUUUUCGAUUUCUAUUGCGAAUAACGAUUAAAUCUCUUUAAAAAGAUAGCGAAAUUUUAUUAUACCAUUUUUUCAUUAGUUAUCCCAU